AAAGCACUAGAAAAUAAUAUUUUAAUAUUUCUACAUUCUCGCACAUCUAUUAAACAUAAUUAAUCCACAAUGUUUCUUGCCACGUGGCAAGAAACUCUUUAUUCUUAGGUUAAUAGAUAGAUAAUCUAUACCUAUACCUAUUUUAUUAAUCCCCAAUAACGUAUUAAUUCUCUCUCCUUUAAUUCUCACCGUAUUAGGCAUCUCUUCAUCUCCCCCACCCUUCCCCUCCCCUCUCCUCUCCGGUAUAUUUAUUAACAUUUCAUGAAUUAAUGAUAAUCUACAUUAACGUUUCAUGGUAAUUAUAAUCAUAAUUGAUUACUCUACCAAUACGUUUUUAUCUUUUCAUANN
rnacentral:lncRNA from 1 species